GUUUUAAUAAUUUAAUAUAAAAUAUCGGUCUUGUAAACCGAAAAUAAGUUUACCUUUUAAAACU
rnacentral:tRNA from 2 species